GACGAACGCUGGCGGCGUGCCUAAUACAUGCAAGUCGAACGCAGUGGGGACGGGUGAGUAACACGUGGGUAACCUCCCAUCAGAGGGGAUAACACUUGGAAAAAGGUGCUAAAACGAUACUGAUGGAUGGACCCGCGGUGCAUUAGCUAGUUGGUGAGGUAACGGCUAACCAAGGCCAAGAUGCAUAGCCGGCCGGAUAGGGGGAUCGGCCACAUGGGGACUGAGACACGGCCCAGACUCCUACGGGAGGCAGCAGUAGGGAAUCUUCGGCAAUGGACGAAAGUCUGACCGAGAAACGCGGCUUGAGUGAAGAAGGUUUUCGGAUCGUAAACCUCUGUUGUUAGAGAAGCGGUAUCUAACCAGAAAGCCACGGCUAACUACGUGCCAGCAGCCGCGGUAAUAC
rnacentral:rRNA from 1 species